UACGGAGGAUCCAAGCGUUAUCCGGAUUUAUUGGGUUUAAAGGGUGCGUAGGUGGGAUGAUAAGUCAGAGGUGAAAGCUAGCAGCUUAACUGCUAAAUUGCCUUUGAUACUGUUAUUCUUGAGUAUAGUUGGCGUUGGCGGAAUGUGACAUGUAGCGGUGAAAUGCGUAGAUAUGUCACAGAACACCGAUCGCGAAGGCAGCUAACGAAACUAUCACUGACACUGAUGCACGAAAGCGUGGGGAGCAAACAGG
rnacentral:rRNA from 1 species